rnacentral:tRNA from 1 species
AUGUAGUUCAGUGGUAGAGCACAUGCUUUGCAUGUAUGUGGUCUUAGGUUUGAUCCCUGGCAU